rnacentral:rRNA from 1 species
GACGAACGCUGGCGGCGUGCCUAAUACAUGCAAGUCGAACGAGAGCGACCGGUGCUUGCACUGGUCAAUCUAGUGGCGAACGGGUGAGUAACACGUGGGUAACCUGCCCAUCAGAGGGGGAUAACAUCCGGAAACGGAUGCUAAAACCGCAUAGGUCUUCGAACCGCAUGGUUUGAAGAGGAAAAGAGGCGCAAGCUUCUGCUGAUGGAUGGACCCGCGGUGCAUUAGCUAGUUGGUGAGGUAACGGCUCACCAAGGCCGGGAUGCAUAGCCGACCUGAGAGGGUGAUCGGCCACAUUGGGACGGAGACACGGCCCAAACUCCUACGGGAGGCAGCAGUAGGGAAUCUUCCGCAAUGGACGCAAGUCUGACGGAGCAACGCCGCGUGAGUGAAGAAGGUUUUCGGAUCGUAAAACUCUGUUGUUAGAGAAGAACAAGUGCUAGAGUAACUGUUAGCGCCUUGACGGUAUCUAACCGGAAAGCCACGGCUAACUACGUG